GACAUUUUCGUGAAAUCGUAUUCCUAUAGCAUUGGUUGCAAUGCCCAAAUACAAAAUGAACAGACCAUUUCACGUAAUUGCGGAGUGUUCAAAACUGUCUCAUGCGUUACAAACUCAUACUAAAUAACAUCCUCAUUUGUAUCCAUCACCAGUGUUCUAUCAUGUUUUGUCAAAUCUCUUUUGGUUGUUUUCUGCUGAACUUCAUUUGACCAGCUUAUUCAACCACUCGCUUCAGAUCUUGACUUUGAAAGGUCAGGCAGUUUUGAAUGUGCUCUGUACGAAUAAGCAUUGUGUCAAAGUGUGAUUACUUACAAGAUGUAUAGGGAAAAUAGGAAACAGCCUUGUGUACAAUGUCUCAUUCAAGCUGGAGUCAUUGGGGGGAAAAAAAACUUGUGCAAUGAAAUUAGGCUGCCGUCUAUGGAAAUUGGUUUUGUUACAAACUCGCG